AUGAAGUACGUUGUGGUAACAGGUGGUGUGGUCAGUGGGCUGGGCAAAGGCGUCACUGCCAGCAGUAUCGGCGUCGUCCUCAAAGCCUGUGGCCUUCGCGUCACCUCCAUCAAAAUCGAUCCAUACUUGAACAUAGAUGCUGGCACCAUGUCUCCCUUUGAACAUGGGGAGGUUUUUGUUCUCGAUGAUGGUGGAGAGGUUGAUUUAGACCUCGGCAACUAUGAACGAUUCCUAGAUGUCGCUCUUACUAGGGACAACAACAUUACCACAGGGAAGAUAUAUCAGUCUGUCCUGGAUAAGGAGCGGAGAGGCGAUUACCUUGGAGAGACUGUUCAGGUUGUUCCACACAUCACUGAUGCCAUUAAGACCUGGGUCGAAUCAAUUUCUCUCAUUCCUGUCGAUGGAAAAGAGGGCCCUGCAGAUGUUUGUGUUAUAGAGUUGGGUGGGACUGUGGGUGACAUGGAAUCCAGGCCAUUCAUUGAGGCUCUGCGCCAAUUGUCUUUUUCAGUUGGGCAAGAAAACUUCUGUCUUAUUCAUGUGAGCCUGAUCCCGGUACUGGGUGUUGUUGGAGAGCAAAAAACAAAGCCUACCCAACAUAGUGUGCGGGAUCUAAGAAAAUAUGGCUUGACUCCUCAUCUAUUAGCAUGUCGCUCUGCGCAGCCAUUAUUGGAAAAUACGAAGGAGAAACUUUCACAACUUUGUCAUGUUGCACCUAGUAAUAUUCUCAAUAUCCAUGAUGUACCAAACAUUUGGCACAUUCCUCUCUUACUUAGGAACCAAAAUGCUCAUCAUUCAAUUCUUCAACAACUAAAUUUACUAAGUUAAGUUUCACUCAUUGCUAUGCCUCCUGAUUUAAGAGAUUGGACCAAGAUGGCAGAGACUUACGAUAAUCUCACAAAUUCUGUGAGGAUUGCCAUGGUGGGGAAGUAUGUUGGCUUUACAGAUUCAUAUCUAUCUGUAGUGAAGGCCCUUUUGCAUGCUUGCGUCGCAUGUUCUUUAAAGCCAUCAAUUGACUGGAUUUCCGCUUCUGACCUUGAAGAUGACAGUGCCAAACUGACACCAGAAGCACAUGCUGCUGCAUGGGAGACUCUAAAGAAUGCUGCAUGCGUCUUGGUUCCUGGCGGAUUUGGAGAUCGUGGUGUGAAAGGUAUGAUAUUAGCUGCAAAGUAUGCCAGAGAGAACAAUGUUCCUUAUCUUGGGAUUUGUUUGGGCAUGCAGAUUUCCGUGAUUGAGUUCGCAAGAUCCGUCUUGAGUUUAGAAAGGGCGGACAGCACAGAGUUCGAUGAACAUACACCUAAUCCUGUUGUAGUUUUUAUGCCUGAGGGUUCAAGAACACAUAUGGGAAGCACAAUGAGACUAGGAUCCAGAAGAACACUUUUCCAGACUCCUGAUUGCAUUACUUCAAAGCUGUACCAUAACUCGGAGCAUGUGGAUGAACGGCAUCGGCAUAGAUAUGAGGUGAACCCAGAUGUUAUUGGAAUUCUUGAAGAAGCGGGCCUAAAAUUUGUAGGGAAGGAUGACAGUGGAAGACGAAUGGAGAUUUUAGAGCUUCCAAGCCAUCCAUUCUAUGUAGGAGUGCAAUUUCAUCCAGAAUUUAAAUCACGGCCUGGGAAGCCCUCAGCUCUCUUUUUAGGUCUUAUCUUGGCAGCAACAGGGCAGUUGGAAACAUAUCUUGACCAGCAUCCAAAUACAAAUUGACAGCAUUGAGCCGCUGUCUCAAUAUUCCCAGAUAAUUUUUUCAAGGUAGAUUUGAAUG